rnacentral:rRNA from 1 species
GUUCCUUGGAUCGUACAUACUACAUGGAUAACUGUAGUAAUUCUAGAGCUAAUACAUGCCACUAUGCCCUGACCCGCGAGGGAACGGGUGGAUUUAUUAGAACAGAACCAACCGGGGGCGGCUUCGGUCGUCCCUGUUGCAUUCUGUGAUGACUCUGGAUAACUUCACUGAUCGCAGUCGGCCUUGUGUCGGCGACGGAUCUUUCAAAUGUCUGCCCUAUCAAUUUUCGAUGGUAGGUGACCUGCCUACCAUGGUGCUAACGGGUAACGGGGAAUCAGGGUUCGAUUCCGGAGAGGGAGCCUGAGAAACGGCUACCACUUCCAAGGAAGGCAGCAGGCACGCAAAUUACCCAAUCCCGGCACGGGGAGGUAGUGACGAAAAAUACGGAUACGGGACUCACUAGAGGCUCCGUAAUUCGAAUGAGUACAAUUUAAAUCCUUUAACGAGGAUCAACUGGAGGGCAAGUCUGGUGCCAGCAGCCGCGGUAACUCCAGCUCCAGAAGCGUAUAUUAAAGUUGUUGCAGUUAAAAAGCUCGUAGUUGGAUCUGGGUCGCAUGGCUACAUGCCGUCGCUCGUGGGUCUGGCCUGGUUACUGCCGGGUUGAGCUUGCGAGUCGGUCUCGUGGUUGUGCUUCCUUUCUGCUGUGUCUGUUUACAGGUGUCAGCGUGACUGGUGGGCUUGCCUGCUAGUCUGUUGGCAUGCUUCUUGGUGCCUUUAAUCGGGUGUCGGAGGCGGACAGCACGUUUACUUUG